rnacentral:rRNA from 1 species
GACGAACCGUGCAAACGUUGUUCGGAAUCACUGGGCUUAAAGGGCGCGUAGGCGGGCCAGCCAGUCUGUGGUGAAAGCCUCCAGCUUAACUGGAGAAGUGCCGUGGAUACUGCUGGCCUCGAGGAGGAUAGGGGCAUCUGGAACGGUCGGUGGAGCGGUGAAAUGCGUUGAUAUCGACCGGAACGCCGGUGGCGAAGGCGAGGUGCUGGGUCCUUUCUGACGCUGAUGCGCGAAAGCCAGGGGAGCAAACGGG